rnacentral:rRNA from 1 species
AUUGAACGCUGGCGGCAGGCCUAACACAUGCAAGUCGAGCGGUAGAGAGGUGCUUGCAUCUCUUGAGAGCGGCGGACGGGUGAGUAAUGCCUAGGAAUCUGCCUAGUGGUGGGGGAUAACGUUCGGAAACGGACGCUAAUACCGCAUACGUCCUACGGGAGAAAGCGGGGGAGUCUUCGGACCUCGCGCCAUUAGAUGAGCCUAGGUCGGAUUAGCUAGUUGGUGAGGUAAUGGCUCACCAAGGCGACGAUCCGUAACUGGUCUGAGAGGAUGAUCAGUCACACUGGAACUGAGACACGGUCCAGACUCCUACGGGAGGCAGCAGUGGGGAAUAUUGGACAAUGGGCGAAAGCCUGAUCCAGCCAUGCCGCGUGUGUGAAGAAGGUCUUCGGAUUGUAAAGCACUUUAAGUUGGGAGGAAAGGGUAGGUUAAACCCUAAUACGUUGCUAACUUUGACGGUUACCGACAGAAUAAGCACCGGCUAACUUCGUGCCAGCAG